UCUGGACUAAAGCUCUCUGCCAACCAGUCAUCCAACCAAACCAUUUUUCCAGGGAUCAGUAACUCCAGAGUUUCUCUUUAACUCUUCUGAGAGUCUAUUUAAUUUAGCUAUGGCCAGAGUGACUUUACCAUUAGGACCUGUGUUUUCUGGAAUGUAAGUGCAACAAGUCAUAGUGUCGGGAAGUAUUUUACAGACCCCCCUUUUUUCGGCUAAGAUCAUGUCUAAGGCCAGUCUGUUCUGGAAG